GAUGAACGCUGGCGGCGUGCCUAAUACAUGCAAGUCGAGCGAACAGAUGAGGAGCUUGCUCCUCUGACGUUAGCGGCGGACGGGUGAGUAACACGUGGAUAACCUACCUAUAAGACUGGGAUAACUUCGGGAAACCGGAGCUAAUACCGGAUAAUAUAUUGAACCGCAUGGUUCAAUAGUGAAAGACGGUUUUGCUGUCACUUAUAGAUGGAUCCGCGCCGCAUUAGCUAGUUGGUAAGGUAACGGCUUACCAAGGCAACGAUGCGUAGCCGACCUGAGAGGGUGUGCGCCCACCCGGGACAGGAGCCCGGGCCAGGCCUCCUAGGGGGGGAGGAAGUGGGAAUCCUCCGGAAUGGGGGAAAGCCCGGCGGGAGCACCGCGGGGUGAGUAAGGAAGGUCUUGGAUUCUAAAACCUUUUUUAUAAGGAAAAAAAAAUUGUUAAAGUAAUUAGGCCCUUCUGAGGGUACCCUAAUAAGAAGCCCCGGCCAAACCCGGGC
rnacentral:rRNA from 1 species